rnacentral:misc_RNA from 1 species
AAGUCGUAACAAGGUUUCCGUAGGUGAACCUGCGGAAGGAUCAUUAAAGAAUCGCCCCCGUUUUUUUUGAAAUGGGUUUCUAUUUCCCCAGACCGUGUUUUACAUACCUUUAGUUUGCUUUGGCAGGGCCGUGGAAACACCAUGGGCUCCGGCUUAUGCGUGCCUGCCAGAGGAAACAAACUCUGUUUUUUAGUGAUGUCUGAGUACUAUAUAAUAGUUAAAA